GGGAGGCCGGGAGGGGUCCCUGGGCGGGGAGUUGCUGCGCAUCUGUUGUGUGUGUGCGUCUGUCUGUCUGUUCAGGUCUGUUUCAGACUACGUCUGCCUGUCUGUCCAGGUCUGUUUUAGGCUGCGUCGGUCUGUCUGUCUGGGUCUGUUUCAGGCUGUGUCUGUCUGUCUGUCUGGGUCUGUUUCAGGCUGUGUCUGUCUGUCUGUCCGGGUCUGUUUCAGGCUGUGUCUGUCUGUCUGUCCGGGUCUGUUUCAGGCUGUGUCUGUCUGUCUGUCCGGGUCUGUUUCAGGCUGUGUCUGUCUGUCUGUUUGUCUGGGUCUGUUUCAGGCUGUGUCUGUCUGUCCGGGUCUGUUUCAGGCUGUAUGUGUGUCUGCUCUUUGCUUCUGCUCCUGGCUCUGUG
rnacentral:lncRNA from 1 species